AAAAAUUUCAAGAUACGUAGUGUCAGCAGAAACAAGUUUCCAUAAAUAGCCGUUAAAGUUUAGUUGAUAAUAUGGCUAGGAUAACAUUAGAUUAGCUUAGUUAAGCUAAGACUGCUAGCAGGGAGGGAAAGGGGUUUGUCGAGAGUAAAGAGGACACUGUUCCUCCAAAAACUGACGUCAGACUCUGCAGCCAUGUUAGGAUCAACCAUAGUCUGUGGGAUCAACAGGCAUUUUCACAGCUGUCUCGCUGAGUUAUGUAAAGAAGAACUGGGUGUUAACAUCACAUCACCAGGCAUAAAAUCUUCAAAAUUGAGGUAAGAUGAGGGAAAGAUAUGGAAAUGCUCUAAAAGUGAUGUUUAUACUUUAAAAAAAGCAUCACCUCAAGAAGACAGAACAACCAAUAAACAUAGAAAGUGUCAUUAUAAUAAAAGAAAGCACGAUUUACAGAUUUCAUGAGCUCUUCUGCAAGUUAUACAUAUUUGUAUCAUUUUCCAUACAGAAUCUACUUGGUCAAAUACUCUAUUUAACUAAUAAUUUUAAAUUUAAUUAGCUAAACAGCAGAUUGUUCUAAAAACAAGAUAAAGCUGGAGGUUUCACUAGUUUCCUGCAACACCCAAUUCAAAGCGAACAGGACCCAGUCAGAUGAGGGGGGAGACAGAUAGGAAGAAGAAGAGGAGGAGGGAGAAGAGAGGAGCUUUAUGUCAGCCCGCUCUCCUCAGUCACGGCCAGUUAGUUAAAGCAAACGCAGGCGGACCCUUGAGAAAACGCGAGGCGGCGGAGAGUGCCAAUCACGGCCGAGCCCUGGGCAUUCCCUGGUACAGCUCGCCUUGAGCAACUUUUUAUUAAUUUAAUAAACAUCCCACAGAGACGGAGCGAUGUGGACUUACGUACCCUUGCAGACAACAGCACUGCUUGGGCCUAAUGAGAUGUGCUACUCACACACACACACACACACACACA
ensembl:lncRNA